GUUCUGUUGUCUUUAUAAAGGAAGCCGCCCGGGUUCUCCCAGCACAGAGUCGGGAGCAAUUCCAGAGCUUCCUCCAAGAUGCUGCUGGUUGUGCUCUCAGUGGCCUUGCUGGCCCUGAGCUCAGCUCACCGCCCAAAUUAUGUGUAUGCCGACCUUAUAUCAGAUGAAGAUAACUCAAGCCAGAGCCAAGAGCAAGAGCCUCAGAGACCACCUCCUGGAGGAAGACCACCUCCUGUAGGACGCCCACCUAGACCCCCUUCAGAGGAUGUAAACCUAGGGGAUGCUCCUGAGCAGCAACCACCCAGACCACAAGGCAAUCAAAAUCCUCCUCCCCCACCUCCUCCUGGAGGGCCCCAGGGACCACCACCCCCACCAGCAGGACCUCCACCUCCAGCCCCUCCUGCUGAUGGAGACCAACAGGAUGCUCCUGAGGAGAGAGGACCCCAAAGAGGAAGACGCCCAGAAAGAUCCCCUUCUAAGGAUGCUCCCCAGCAGCAACCACCCAGACCACAAGGCAAUCAAAAUCCUCCUCCCCCACCUCCUCCUGGAGGGCCCCAGGGACCACCACCCCCACCGGCAGGACCCCCACCUCCAGCCCCUCCUGCUGAUAGAGACCAACAGGAUGCUCCUGAGCAGAGAGGACCCCAAAGAGGAAGACAUCCAGGCCCCAGGGACCACCACCCCCACCAGCAGGACCCCCACCUCCAGCCCCUCCUGCUGAUGGAGACCAACAGGAUGCUCCUGAGCAGAGAGGACCCCAAAGAGGAAGACAUCCAGUAA
rnacentral:lncRNA from 1 species